rnacentral:tRNA from 1 species
GGGCGCGUAGCUCAGUUGGCAGAGCAGCUCCCCUACAACGAGCAAGUCACAGGUUCAAAUUCUGUUGUGCCA